CUCGUAACUUAUGCUUCGAUUAUAUUGCAGUCUGUGUAUGCGCUGAUGGAACACCUGCAUAUUUGCAGCUUGUUGAUUUUGGAUAAAACUGCAAGUAACAACCUGUGUGUUUAGCGAGCUACUUCUGGUGGGGGUAAUUGCUCACGAGCAUUUCAUCAUUGUGGACUGCAGCAAAAAAGUUACUCCUUAUACAACAUUAAGACUGCACUGUUUGUUCUGCUGCUAUUUUUAUUACUUUGUGACCAUUUGUAUUGGAUUUGUUUGUUUUUGUUUUGUUGCUUCACGCUCAUGUUGGUGGUUUAAAGGAAGGCUAGUUUGAACCGUCACCUAACAGGAGAUGUGCCGUUAACGGCGCAUGUUUAGCCCUACUGGUAAUAGCCACCAGCAGCGUGUUUGUUUGUUUUUCUUUAUUUUCCCUUGAUCUGCGCUCAUCCUAUGAACAGCGUGGAAGAACUCUCAAUAUCUGGUACCUGGGAAGAUUUUUUUGUUCCCUGUUUAAAUGUAUUGAUUUGAGUAUUUAUGGAGAUCUCUUUCAGUUUCCUCCUUGAUUAAUUUGCUGUUUUUGUGAUUUGAUUUGAACUCUGAUUGUUUUCAUUUGUUUGUUUUUAUUUUUUUCCCUUUUGUUUUGUUCUUUUCUUGAACUCUUUGUUGAGCCAUUGUGAGGUUCAUGAGCUUUUGGUUCCAACCUAGCGGAGUUCCUGCCUCUCUGAACCUUUGUGGCCAGUAAAUGGUCCAUACUUUUUAUUCAUGGUUUGAACUUAAUCCAAUGCAAAUUGUUGAAUUUUAUGUGUGUUUUGAUUAAUUGUGUUUUUAUAUUCUUGUUUGU